rnacentral:rRNA from 1 species
GCCAGCAGCCAUAUUACCCUGCAACUCACAACUGACAGCCAAAUGAAGCUAAGCAGGUGUGAGCCUGGUCAGUACCUGGAUGGGGGACCUCCUGGGAAAAACUAAGGUUGCUGCUGGAA